CCUACGGGAGGCUGCAGUGAGGAAUAUUGGUCAAUGGACGAGAGUCUGAACCAGCCAAGUAGCGUGAAGGAUGACUGCCCUAUGGGUUGUAAACUUCUUUUAUAUGGGAAUAAAAUGUUCCACGUGUGCCUUUUUGUAUGUACUUUAUGAAUAAGGAUCGGCUAACUCCGUGCCAGCAGCCGCGGUAAUACGGAGGAUCCGAGCGUUAUCCGGAUUUAUUGGGUUUAAAGGGAGCGUAGAUGGGUUGUUAAGUCAGUUGUGAAAGUUUGCGGCUCAACCGUAAAAUUGCAAUUGAUACUGGCAGUCUUGAGUACAGUUGAGGUAGGCGGAAUUCGUGGUGUAGCGGUGAAAUGCUUAGAUAUCACGAAGAACUCCGAUUGCGAAGGCAGCUUACUAAACUGCCACUGACAUUGAUGCUCGAAAGUGUGGGUAUCAAACAGGAUUAGAUACCCGUGUAGUC
rnacentral:rRNA from 1 species